rnacentral:rRNA from 1 species
GACGAACGCUGGCGGCGUGCCUAAUACAUGCAAGUAGAACGCUGAAGAGAAGAGCUUGCUCUUCUUGGAUGAGUUGCGAACGGGUGAGUAACGCGUAGGUAACCUGCCUGGUAGCGGGGGAUAACUAUUGGAAACGAUAGCUAAUACCGCAUAAAAUUGAUUAUUGCAUGAUAAUUAAUUGAAAGAUGCAAUUGCAUCACUACCAGAUGGACCUGCGUUGUAUUAGCUAGUUGGUGAGGUAACGGCUCACCAAGGCGACGAUACAUAGCCGACCUGAGAGGGUGAUCGGCCACACUGGGACUGAGACACGGCCCAGACUCCUACGGGAGGCAGCAGUAGGGAAUCUUCGGCAAUGGGGGGAACCCUGACCGAGCAACGCCGCGUGAGUGAAGAAGGUUUUCGGAUCGUAAAGCUCUGUUGUAAGAGAAGAACGGGUGUGAGAGUGGAAAGUUCACACUGUGACGGUAUCUUACCAGAAAGGGACGGCUAACUACGUGCCAGCAGCCGCGGUAAUACGUAGGUCCCGAGCGUUGUCCGGAUUUAUUGGGCGUAAAGCGAGCGCAGGCGGUUAGAUAAGUCUGAAGUUAAAGGCUGUGGCUUAACCAUAGUAUGCUUUGGAAACUGUUUAACUUGAGUGCAGAAGGGGAGAGUGGAAUUCCAUGUGUAGCGGUGAAAUGCGUAGAUAUAUGGAGGAACACCGGUGGCGAAAGCGGCUCUCUGGUCUGUAACUGACGCUGAGGCUCGAAAGCGUGGGGAGCAAACAGGAUUAGAUACCUUGGUAGUCCACGCCGUAAACGAUGAGUGCUAGGUGUUAGGCCCUUUCCGGGGCUUAGUGCCGCAGCUAACGCAUUAAGCACUCCGCCUGGGGAGUACGACCGCAAGGUUGAAACUCAAAGGAAUUGACGGGGGCCCGCACAAGCGGUGGAGCAUGUGGUUUAAUUCGAAGCAACGCGAAGAACCUUACCAGGUCUUGACAUCCCGAUGCCCGCUCUAGAGAUAGAGUUUUACUUCGGUACAUCGGUGACAGGUGGUGCAUGGUUGUCGUCAGCUCGUGUCGUGAGAUGUUGGGUUAAGUCCCGCAACGAGCGCAACCCCUAUUGUUAGUUGCCAUCAUUCAGUUGGGCACUCUAGCGAGACUGCCGGUAAUAAACCGGAGGAAGGUGGGGAUGACGUCAAAUCAUCAUGCCCCUUAUGACCUGGGCUACACACGUGCUACAAUGGCUGGUACAACGAGUCGCAAGCCGGUGACGGCAAGCUAAUCUCUGAAAGCCAGUCUCAGUUCGGAUUGUAGGCUGCAACUCGCCUACAUGAAGUCGGAAUCGCUAGUAAUCGCGGAUCAGCACGCCGCGGUGAAUACGUUCCCGGGCCU